rnacentral:rRNA from 2 species
GACGAACGCUGGCGGCGUGCCUAAUACAUGCAAGUCGAACGAACUCUGGUAUUGAUUGGUGCUUGCAUCAUGAUUUACAUUUGAGUGAGUGGCGAACUGGUGAGUAACACGUGGGAAACCUGCCCAGAAGCGGGGGAUAACACCUGGAAACAGAUGCUAAUACCGCAUAACAACUUGGACCGCAUGGUCCGAGUUUGAAAGAUGGCUUCGGCUAUCACUUUUGGAUGGUCCCGCGGCGUAUUAGCUAGAUGGUGAGGUAACGGCUCACCAUGGCAAUGAUACGUAGCCGACCUGAGAGGGUAAUCGGCCACAUUGGGACUGAGACACGGCCCAAACUCCUACGGGAGGCAGCAGUAGGGAAUCUUCCACAAUGGACGAAAGUCUGAUGGAGCAACGCCGCGUGAGUGAAGAAGGGUUUCGGCUCGUAAAACUCUGUUGUUAAAGAAGAACAUAUCUGAGAGUAACUGUUCAGGUAUUGACGGUAUUUAACCAGAAAGCCACGGCUAACUACGUGCCAGCAGCCGCGGUAAUACGUAGGUGGCAAGCGUUGUCCGGAUUUAUUGGGCGUAAAGCGAGCGCAGGCGGUUUUUUAAGUCUGAUGUGAAAGCCUUCGGCUCAACCGAAGAAGUGCAUCGGAAACUGGGAAACUUGAGUGCAGAAGAGGACAGUGGAACUCCAUGUGUAGCGGUGAAAUGCGUAGAUAUAUGGAAGAACACCAGUGGCGAAGGCGGCUGUCUGGUCUGUAACUGACGCUGAGGCUCGAAAGUAUGGGUAGCAAACAGGAUUAGAUACCCUGGUAGUCCAUACCGUAAACGAUGAAUGCUAAGUGUUGGAGGGUUUCCGCCCUUCAGUGCUGCAGCUAACGCAUUAAGCAUUCCGCCUGGGGAGUACGGCCGCAAGGCUGAAACUCAAAGGAAUUGACGGGGGCCCGCACAAGCGGUGGAGCAUGUGGUUUAAUUCGAAGCUACGCGAAGAACCUUACCAGGUCUUGACAUACUAUGCAAAUCUAAGAGAUUAGACGUUCCCUUCGGGGACAUGGAUACAGGCGGUGCAUGGUUGUCGUCAGCUCGUGUCGUGAGAUGUUGGGUUAAGUCCCGCAACGAGCGCAACCCUUAUUAUCAGUUGCCAGCAUUAAGUUGGGCACUCUGGUGAGACUGCCGGUGACAAACCGGAGGAAGGUGGGGAUGACGUCAAAUCAUCAUGCCCCUUAUGACCUGGGCUACACACGUGCUACAAUGGAUGGUACAACGAGUUGCGAACUCGCGAGAGUAAGCUAAUCUCUUAAAGCCAUUCUCAGUUCGGAUUGUAGGCUGCAACUCGCCUACAUGAAGUCGGAAUCGCUAGUAAUCGCGGAUCAGCAUGCCGCGGUGGAUACGUUCCCGGGCCUUGUACACACCGCCCGUCACACCAUGAGAGUUUGUAACACCCAAAGUCGGUGGGGUAACCUUUUAGGAACCAGCCGCCUAAGGUGGGACAGAUGAUUAGGGUG